rnacentral:rRNA from 1 species
UAACACUAACUGGAGGACCGAACCGACUAAUGUUGAAAAAUUAGCGGAUGACCUGUGGCUGGGGGUGAAAGGCCAAUCAAACCGGGAGAUAGCUGGUUCUCCCCGAAAGCUAUUUAGGUAGCGCCUCGUGAAUUCAUCUCCGGGGGUAGAGCACUGUUUCGGCUAGGGGGCCAUCCCGGCUUACCAACCCGAUGCAAACUGCGAAUACCGGAGAAUGUUAUCACGGGAGACACACGGCGGGUGCUAACGUCCGUCGUGAAGAGGGAAACAACCCAGACCGCCAGCUAAGGUCCCAAAGUCAUGGUUAAGUGGGAAACGAUGUGGGAAGGCCCAGACAGCCAGGAUGUUGGCUUAGAAGCAGCCAUCAUUUAAAGAAAGCGUAAUAGCUCACUGGUCGAGUCGGCCUGCGCGGAAGAUGUAACGGGGCUAAACCAUGCACCGAAGCUGCGGCAGCGACACUCAGGUGUUGUUGGGUAGGGGAGCGUUCUGUAAGCCUGUGAAGGUGUGUCGUGAGGCAUGCUGGAGGUAUCAGAAGUGCGAAUGCUGACAUAAGUAACGAUAAAGCGGGUGAAAAGCCCGCUCGCCGGAAGACCAAGGGUUCCUGUCCAACGUUAAUCGGGGCAGGGUGAGUCGACCCCUAAGGCGAGGCCGAAAGGCGUAGUCGAUGGGAAACGGGUUAAUAUUCCCGUACUUGGUGUUACUGCGAAGGGGGGACGGAGAAGGCUAUGUUGGCCGGGCGACGGUUGUCCCGGUUUAAGCGUGUAGGUGUGUGUUCCAGGUAAAUCCGGUUCACUUUAACACUGAGGCGUGAUGACGAGGCACUACGGUGCUGAAGCAACAAAUGCCCUGCUUCCAGGAAAAGCCUCUAAGCAUCAGGUAACAUCAAAUCGUACCCCAAACCGACACAGGUGGUCAGGUAGAGAAUACCAAGGCGCUUGAGAGAACUCGGGUGAAGGAACUAGGCAAAAUGGUGCCGUAACUUCGGGAGAAGGCACGCUGACACGUAGGUGAAGUGAUUUACUCAUGGAGCUGAAGUCAGUCGAAGAUACCAGCUGGCUGCAACUGUUUAUUAAAAACACAGCACUGUGCAAACACGAAAGUGGACGUAUACGGUGUGACGCCUGCCCGGUGCCGGAAGGUUAAUUGAUGGGGUCAGCGCAAGCGAAGCUCCUGAUCGAAGCCCCGGUAAACGGCGGCCGUAACUAUAACGGUCCUAAGGUAGCGAAAUUCCUUGUCGGGUAAGUUCCGACCUGCACGAAUGGCGUAAUGAUGGCCAGGCUGUCUCCACCCGAGACUCAGUGAAAUUGAACUCGCUGUGAAGAUGCAGUGUACCCGCGGCAAGACGGAAAGACCCCGUGAACCUUUACUAUAGCUUGACACUGAACAUUGAGCCUUGAUGUGUAGGAUAGGUGGGAGGCUUUGAAGCGUGGACGCCAGUCUGCGUGGAGCCGACCUUGAAAUACCACCCUUUAAUGUUUGAUGUUCUAACGUGGACCCGU